AUUGAACGCUGGCGGUAGGCCUAACACAUGCAAGUCGAGCGGCUGAACAGUACUUGCUUGUGCUUUCGGCUGCCGACUGGCGGAUGAUUCCUAAGUAUCUGCCUAUCUGCUUUUUCUUGCGUGCUAACAUAGGCGCUCAUACCCCAUUCCUCCUUACGACCUACGUGUGGAAUCUUCGGAUCUUCCGCUCUUACGUGAUUCUAUGUCGGAUUAGCUAGUUGGCGGGGUAAAGGCCUACCAAGGCGACGAUCCGUAACUGGUCUGAGAGGAUGAUCAGUCACACUGGAACUGAGACACGGUCCAGACUCCUACGGGAGGCAGCAGUGGGGAAUAUUGGACAAUGGGCGCAAGCCUGAUCCAGCCAUGCCGCGUGUGUGAAGAAGGUCUUCGGGUUGUAAAGCACUUUAAUUGGGAAGGAAAAGCAGUAAGUUAAUACCUCGCUGUUUUGACGGUACCAAAAGAAUAAGCACCGGCUAACUUCGUG
rnacentral:rRNA from 1 species